rnacentral:rRNA from 1 species
GACGAACGCUGGCGGCGUGCUUAACACAUGCAAGUCGAACGGAAAGGCCCUGCUUUUGUGGGGUGCUCGAGUGGCGAACGGGUGAGUAACACGUGAGUAACCUGCCCUUGACUUUGGGAUAACUUCAGGAAACUGGGGCUAAUACCGGAUAGGAGCUCCUGCUGCAUGGUGGGGGUUGGAAAGUUUCGGCGGUUGGGGAUGGACUCGCGGCUUAUCAGCUUGUUGGUGGGGUAGUGGCUUACCAAGGCUUUGACGGGUAGCCGGCCUGAGAGGGUGACCGGCCACAUUGGGACUGAGAUACGGCCCAGACUCAUACGGGAGGCAGCAGUGGGGAAUAUUGCACAAUGGGCGGAAGCCUGAUGCAGCAACACCGCGUGCGGGAUGACGGCCUUCGGGUUGUAAACCGCUUUCGCCUGUGACGAAGCGUGAGUGACGGUAAUGGGUAAAGAAGCACCGGCUAACUACGUG